CGCAUCUGUGCAUGCAGCAUAUCAAUAAGCGGAGGAAAAGAAACUAACAAGGAUUCCCUCAGUAACGGCGAGUGAAGCGGGAAGAGCUCAAAUUUGAAAUCUUGAAAGGUCACCUUUCACGAAUUGUAGUUUAAAGAAGUGUUUUCUGUUACGAUCGUAAUAUAAGUUCUUUGGAAUAGGACAUCACAGAGGGUGAGAAUCCCGUCUAUUUGACCAUUAUUUUAGCUUUGUGAUACACUUUCAAAGAGUCGGAUUGUUUGGGAAUGCAGUCCAAAACGGGAGGUAAAUUUCAUUCUAAAGCUAAAUAUUGGCGAGAGACCGAUAGCGAACAAGUACCGUGAGGGAAAGAUGAAAAGAACUUUGAAAAGAGAGUUAAAUAGUACGUGAAAUUGUCAAAAGGGAAGCGUUUAACACCAGUGUUGUUUUCUGAAAAUCAACCUCUGUUAGCUUUAUGCAUGUUUGUUUAGACCUAAUCAGCUAUCUUGCAUGUUCUAUUGUUUGCAGUGGUGCACUUUUCAGUUUACAGGUCAACAUCAGUUUUUUUUUACCGUAAAAAAGUUAAAGAAAGGUAGCUCAUGGCUCCGGUCGUGAGUGUUAUAGUCUUUUUCCUAUGCGGUAGGAGAGACUGAGGUCUGCAGUGUAGGCUAUUUGGCUAGAUACUCAGGUGCUAUGUGAUACCAUUUCAUAAACAACUUGUUGAUUAUGUUUUGUCUAUUGCAUACUCGCUUGUACUAUCAUACCUACGCUUAGGAUGUUGACGAUCAGCUGAGCGCG
rnacentral:rRNA from 1 species